rnacentral:lncRNA from 1 species
CCAUACACCCUAAUGGAAACCAUGACAUACUGCUUUGGCUUUUUCAAAUUUACGGUAUAUGGUUUCGAUUUUUUGGGGCCAAAUCUGUUUGACGGGUGAGUUAUAAUUUUAACCUGAUUCUUAUUAAUGUUUAGUUAUAUUUUGUUUGUACAAUUGAUUUGCGUUAUGUUACUGCUACUUGUUUUCAAUAUUUGAGAAGACGAUUAUGGGUUUCGAUUUUUGGUGUCUGCUCUUUUCCGACGAGUUAGUUAUUUUUUAUUUUUUUGUAUAUAUGGUUGUGUUAGUAUUUGUUUUUUAUGAUGUCUCUCUCUGCUGAUGGCAUUUCCUUGUCACUGGUCGACUUAAAUAAUUAACAAUAAGUUUAUGAUACCUAAUCAAAGAUUUAAAAGUAAACACAAUAACAUUUUAGAUAACAUCAUGACUCAUUACAGCAAUCAUUACAAAUAAAUUAGGUCUUAUUCAAACAUCACAAGGAAAACUGAAGAAUCAAAAAGUUAAGUAUAUAUACUUCGUUAAGAAGAUUGUAGCAAGAACUGGAAACUUCAAUUAUGACAAAAUUUUAAAGUUACCAAAAAUUCCAAUAACAAUUUCUUCAAAUAUCGAAAAAUUGUAUCAAAAUAAACAGCAAAUUCCAUACAUAUGAACGAGAAGAAAUCAUUUGCAAAAUUGCGGAUAAGAACAUCAGCAACCUCCAACAAAUGCAGCUGCUAUUCUCUUUUUAGUGAUUUUAGCUCCUUGAACACUACAGGAGAUUACAUUAUUAUCAUAUGUUGAUAUGCCUUUUUUCCCUAUUUAAGAAAUAAAACGAAAACACUUAGAAAUGGCUUUUCAAUUGUAGAGCUCGUAAACAAAUUUGACCAUGACGUUUGUUAAGUUUGAAAUUCUCAUUGUCAAAAUAAAAUGUGUUACUUUUAUCUUUCAUUCAUGGUUAAAUAAUAAAUAUUAUAUUACUGAACUAAAUGUAUCAAAUAGCACUUAAGUUUGGAUACUUCAUAACAACAAAAUUUUGCAUCCCUUGAAAUUUAUAUUUUCUUUCAAUCAAUUAAGUCCUUCCGAUACUGUUCACUAAUUCUGAACACAAAUCAUUAACUUAAAUGCAGGCUAUGGUCGGCUUUGAACGGAUCUCUUUUACCCAUUCUUUUAUUUUUAUUUUUAUUUUUGGUUUUUGUAACGUUCUUGUCCUAAAGAGUUUUUUAAGAGUGCUUGGUUGAUUUUAGUUGAAAGGCUUUAGAUUUGCCCAAGCAGAUUUACAUACAUAUUAAAUACCUUCCCUUGCAUAUAGAACAAGCUAAUUUGGUCGUCAUUCUUGACUGGAUUUAUGGUAUGAAGUGUUCAGGAUUUCUAGAUAGUGUCAUAGCAUAUUUCAACUUUGUACAGGAAGUUCUUAAGCAGUGGACCAUGUCCUUUUAACAUUAAGGUUUUUUAGAAGGAAGUUUAACAUGUUUAGCUUAUGCAAUAUAAAGAUUGAGGCCCUAAAUUGUUGAAUAACAGAGGAAUUUAUCCAUAUUAUAGUUGUCAUUUGUAGACAGAAAUUAAAGAGAGCAGAAGAAUUUGAAAUUUUAAUAAUCAAGAGUAUGAUCACGUUGAAAUCUUAGGUCCCUUUAAAAGGUAAGUACUUGAGACUUAAUGAACGUUUAAGAUAUCAAAACUAAUUUACAUAUGAUUCACAGAGUUAAAUCUUUUCUUUUAUAGUUUCAGACAGAUCAUUUGAAGAAAAAAAUCAGAGACUCAUCAAUUUGAAUCUAAUGGCAGCAGUGGUCAGGGUUCUUUGUUCAUAAAAUCAAUUGUGGUGUUAGUAUUGGAGUCUGUAUUCUUAAUUCUUUCUUAGUUAUGAAUAUCCUAUGAAUGUUUAUUCUGUCAGUUAAAGGAGCAGCUGAAGAUUAUGCGGCAAUGACAAGAUAACUUUUGGCAAAAAAUGAGACGUAGUUGGGAAAGAAAUUUAAGGAAAUAAUAUAGGAUGAAUAUGAGGGAGUGACAUCAAUAAAGAAUGGGCUACUCACGUCAUAUGCUAAUUUAUAUUGUAUAUUAAUAACUACUUUUAUAAGUGUGUAUACCAUUGUUUCUGGUUCCAUUGAUAAGUAAGAUUCUCCUAUUGAUGCAUAUAAUUAAAUAUUUUCAUCCUUAACUGCUCAGUAAUUUGUUUCACAAUAUUAUCAUGCUUGUAUUCUUAACAUUUUAUUCAACCCUUAUCCUGGGUUGAUCCGCUUUUUUUAAAUCAAUUUUGUUGUUCUCAGUUAUUUACGUUUUUCAAAAUCCAAAUUAAACUUCAUUUUUCAGAUAAUCUAAUUUGGAUUGGUUUGCAUGCAGGAGUGAUCUUAGGUCCUCCAUGUCAAUAGGUAUGUAUUUAGUCUCGAAGUAAUACAUUUCAACUCUCUAUGCCUGUUUGAAAAUGAAAUUGUUACUUUAUUUCGGUUGUUGAUGUAUGAAUAUCUGGUCAUAUGAAAUUUGUUUAAUUAGAUUUUGGGUUUUGGGAUUCUUGCUUUCUUAAUGUGUGUUGGGUGAACUAAUGUGGAAGAAUAGGGCAUAAUUUAGGAUCCCUCACCUUCCUCUUUCGUGUGUUCAUAUCGUGGUAAUUUAUCUUUAUUUCUUGGUAUUGUGCUAUGAAUGUCUUGGAACAUUAUGUAUCUUUGUUCUUUAGAGAUGAAGAGCAUUUCUUGGGUAAGUGUGUCUAUGUGCAUGGUUGGUACAAAAUCUCUUACAUUUUUUUUUUUUUUUGGACAAGUAAAAAAUAAAAUUCAUUUUCAAUUGUGAUUUUUGUAUGUUGAAUGUUUAAUUUUGAAGGUACUUUCUGUUAUUUUUCAAUAAAACAUUUUAGAUCGAUGAUCUUGUUUACUUUAUAGAUAGAUUGACUUCUUAAUUAUAGCGAAGUAGUUUUACUGCUUUUUCUUUAUAGGAACUAGCUAUUAGAUGGAAACUAAAAUCAUAUAAUCUAUUUGCAUAAGAAGAAGGUAUAACAAAGUUAAAUAUUCUUAUAUUUAGUCAGUUGUAAUCGAUAAUUUUAUAUUCCACAUUUUACGAGGGAUUCAAAAACUAAAUAGUAGCAUGGUUAUAAAUAUUUGUGAGUUUGAUUUAUUGAAAUUUCCCAUUCCAAUUCUAUUAUUUUUUGUCUUCUCUUUUUUAAUCAACCUCUUUAUUUUGAAGAAAAAUAUACUUAGAACAUUCUGUUUACUACGGAGCUCAUAAUAUUUUUUUAUUUUCAAACCAAUUUUGAAGAGAAUAUGGAAGAAAACUUUGAGAUGCAAAAAAUUGUCUUCAUUUUCUCCGAUCAUUUGCUCGAAAUAAGUUUUUUUCGAAUGAAGAGAUCACUUGUGUUGAAACUGCUGAUGCUGGUUAGUAAUUGUACUCUAUUGAUUAUGUGCACUUAUUUAUAUAGUUCUUAUGUUUGAAUUCUAUGUAUGAAGUUUGGUCAUAUGAAAUACAUAUUACAUUUUGCCAUGAACUUCUAUCUAAUAUUGAUAUUUAUUGUUCUUAUGAAGGGAAUGAUUCAAAGAGUUCAAAGGGAACAGAAUUUCAUGGUAAACGACAACAUAAUAUUACUAAUGUAAUAGAAGAAAAACUUGAUGAUCUCGCUAACAAAAAAAGGUCAGAUCUGAGAAAGGAGUGCAAUUAAAUGUGGAAUCCGAUAGGAUACUAACUCGAAAUAGGAUGAACAAAGUAAUGAGAUAACAACUUUUAUUGAAUAACCAGAGAAUUACAGAAAAAGAAAUAGUAACAAAGCCUAUAGAAGGCUGUAAAUGUGAACGGUACCCCUAACCCACUCUCUCAAAUAUUCGCCCCCACUACCCUUAACUCAUACCCUUAUUUAUAGGCCUAUAUCUAAUAGAAUUUCCCUCCCCCACUUCCCCUUUCAACAGAAUUUGGUUGUGACCCAGCCCUUCUCGAUUCUCCUGGAUGCUUCUAGAAUUGGGGCCUAUCAUUACCCGCCGCCCCAAAAUCCACUUGUCCUCAAGGUGGAGGUUCGGUAACUUAUGUUCAACUUCAAAAUUCAGAAUUCCAUAGUGUGGACCCAUGUUUGGAGUAAGCUUGUUGCAGCAGUUAGCUUUGGUAACCAAUUGUCCACCCACCAAUAAAAUGUUGUCCUUAAAAAUCCCAUAGCCAGAUGGACCCACAAAAAGAACUCCUAAAGUUCGGGUUUGAUUUGAAGUAGUCGUAUCAUCCUUAUAAUUUGCUUGGGCGUGAUUUAUCACUUCAUUUCUGUUCUUCACUUUUCUGGCCCCCUCUAAAAUAUGGCCCAACUCCUGAAGCUUUAACAUCUUACCCUCAGCCCAUAUCACAAUAACAAAAUUACCAUUCUUCCAUUGAUAUCACGUCAAAGUAUCUCCAUGCACACUAACCGUCAUUGCCUCCACCUCCUUCCAAUUCGAGAAAUGAUUAGUAUUAGAAUGCCUCUCCACUUGAAGAGCACAGCCAUCGGGAUUUUCUUUGUCGAGAACCAGAAUUUCUAGUUGAGGACUGCAAGUCUCUGCCUUCCCUACUUCCUCCUUGUGAUCCUGUCCAUCUUCCCUUACUUCUAUUUCUUCAACUUUUGGUGGAAUUUCAAUAGUAAUGGUGGGUCCCUGCAAUUUCUUCUUGCAGCGAUUGCCAUUGAAGAAUUUUUCAUCGCCAUCGGGACUUAACACUAUUUCUAUCUUCGAUUGAAGCUCGUCCACAUAAAGUCGCUGGAGAGUAGUUGGGAAUUUGGAUAGUGGUUUCAUUGGGUAUCUUGAAACUGGAGUAAUUUCCGGGUGCUGGGUCAGUAAUUUCUCUUGGACCAUCACGCCUCGUAUGGGAAAAGGUUCGUCGGUCUUCAUCUCUUCCUCAAUUGGGAUUGAUUUGAAGAGUUUUGGGCCCAAGGUUUCUUUUGUAGCUUUGAUGACCAGAUUCCUUUCUUCCACUCUUUAGGCUGUUUCCAUUAUGUGGCCCAAUCCACUGGGGUAGUGUAAACAGAUUUUGGUCCACGCAAUAGGUUUAAGCCCACUGAUAAGUGUACUCCCCAUUACUUGUGUACUCCCCAUUACUUCCUCUAAAAUCCCCAGUAACUGCGUAUUUAAAACUUCAAUUGAGCGCUGGAAUUCUGCUUGGUUCCCUUCUUGGCAGACAGCAAAGAAUUUCUUACACCCACUUCUGUUUCCUUCGUCCACCGAUUUGUUCGUGACUGAUUGAGGGAGGAUUAUUAACGCCACGGAACUCUGAAUUGCUUCCAUGGUUCCAAACGUUCUGGUCGAUUGUUUCGAACGUUCCCAGGAGACUUUGAUGUUUGGUCCCCCCUUAUUUUUAUUGUAAUGCCCAUUUGGACUCUUCUCUCUCCAUCGAUGGUAUAAUGGUCUCCCUAAUUGCAGCUUCCUGUUGGCCGACUGUUUGCAUCGUAAAGGGUAAUUAUAGGCUACUGGUUGGGUAUUAUUGGGUUGGCUGUAAGAUAAUUGUUGAGUAAUGGACCACAGAGGCUUUCCUUUAGCUGGGCUGGAUCCAGUCCACUGGUUAGGGUUUUUUUCAUCCAUCCAUUGGCCCAUCUCCAUUAUAUGUGCUAGCUUAGUGGGCCUAAAAACCAUAACAUCAACCUUGAUUGUGGGCUUGAGCCCAUUGAUAAAAUAUCCCUCCAGUCUUGCAUCGGAUCUGUGAGCGACCCAAGACUCAAAUCGGUGACACUCUCUCACCAACCCUUCUCGCCGGAUGACUAACCACUCAUCGCUGGUGUUUCCAUGGUUUGAUCGAAAAUGGGUAAUUACUAAGUCCUUCAAUUCCUCCUAGCUGCACAGCUUCUUCCUCCUCUGCUGCCACUGAUACCAGGAUCGAGCUCCACCUUCAAAACAGAUCGUGGCUGCUUCUAACUCCUCUGAUUUCAAAAUUCGGGUGAGUCCAAAAUACCUCUCAGCGGUGAAGCCCCAACUCUCUGAAUUUUCCCCUUCAAAACUUGGCAUCUCCAACCUCCGAUUUCGGCACCCUGGUCGCCAUGUGCCUCCUAGACCUGCCUUGGUCUCUUUACCCCUCUCUUUCGUAUCUUUAAUACUUGUGAUUCCGCUGGGUGCAAACUGCGGUAAUUUUCCAUCCGGAGCUGUUCCAGAUCCUUCUCCUUCGUUUACCCCUGAUUUGGGAAGUGUUAACGCUGCUACUGCCUUUUGGGUGGCUUCCAUAGACUGCAGUAUCUUGUUUAUAUUCAGGGAUAGGUGCUCCAUCGAUUUUUUGAGUCCUGGUAGCCUCUGUAAUUCUAAUUUCAUCUCCUCCAGGUCCUUUUCGACUGCCUCCAUUCGAGUUUCCAUUUUCUUUUGGGCCAUCAGAAUCGGUUGCUCUCUUUUUUUCUUCAUUUCCGAUUCCUGUUCUCUCCAAUCCGGAACCUUCACUUCGCUCUUCUCCAACAAUGGAAUUUUUUCCUCCACCAGCGAUGGCGAUGGGAACACAAGCACUUUACCAGGCUGUUCUUCCUGUGCUAUCUCUUGGUUAAACUCGUUUCCCUGCUGCCAAUCUGAAAAUUCACCAACGGAGAUUUGCCUCGUGGGAAAUCGAACCAUCAUCCUCACCUUCAAUUCUACCUAGGUCUCUAUUGGACAGCUAUCGUCUAUCUCUUGGAACCAUGCCCAAGCCUCUCCAUAAAAGCAAGCAACUGCGGCUUCUACCUUUUCCCUCUCCGGUAAUCCGCGAUUCUUGUCUAUGCAUCGCUCCGCCUCAAUCAACCACGAAUCCAAAUUGUCCCCAUAGAAUAACGAUGUGUUGAGUCGGCCAUAUGAAUCCAAGCCUGAAUCAUCGUUUCGAUCUCCUUCUUGUUGCAUCAUCAAGCGGUCAAAUCGACUCAUUAAUGAGCUCCAAUUUUCCUCCCAUUCGUUGCUGAAUUUUGUUUCCAUUUGUCGCAGAAUCGGUGCUCUGAUACCAAUUGGAAAUAGGAUAAACAAAGUAAUGAGAUAACAACUUUUAUUGAAUAACCAGAGAAUUACAGAAAAAGAAAUAGUAACAAAGCCUAUAGAAGGUUGUAAACGUGAACGGUACCCCUAACCCACUCUCUCAAAUAUUCGCCCCCACUACCCCUAACUCAUACCCUUAUUUAUAGGCCUAUAUCUAACAGAAUUUCCCUCCCCCACUUCCCCUUUCAACAGAAUUUGGUUGUGACCCAGCCCUUCUCGAUUCUCCCAGAUGCUUCUAGAAUUGGGGCCUAUCAGAAUCAAAAAAUAAUAAUGAAGGGUUCAAUCGUGAAAAAUGUUGUGACAAAGAACCUAGUAAGAAUCAUAUGAUAUUAUAUCAUUUUAUUGAUGUACAUUUUGGCAUAUUUGUUAUAAAUAGUUGUAAAAAUCUAUUGUCAAUUUGUGUUUUAUAUUCAAAAUUUUGAGAUUUUUUUUUUUUUUUUUAAGAAACACGGCAAUAUGAUGAUAAUCUUUCUUCAUAGCCUUAUGAGCUACUUGAGCCAAAUAUUUAUGAUCAUUGUGGUGCUGUGAAAUUUUAUAGAGAAUCUAAGGGAUUUUGCUGUUUAAAUUGGCAAGUUAUUUUAAAAACAAAUGACGUGCCUGGAGAAUUACUUAUGUUGUUUACCUCAAAUUUUGAAGAAAGUUUUUACUUUAGAAAUAUGGUAUGAAGCUAUAAUUGCAAUUUUUCUAUGACAUCGUUCGAUGUAAAAUAUGAUGAAAAUUUAUGUACAAAUUAUAAUGAUAUUUAUACAUUUGGAAUGAGGUUUACCAUUUUAUAAAUGGCAAUAAGGUAUAACUACCAAAACGACCGAAUUAAAAACUUUAAAUAAAACUGUCAAUAGUUAUAAAAUUGUUGAGCAUCAUAUAAGCUUUCAAGAGAACAAUCAUACUUUGAAAAGUAUUGCCCAUGAAGAUAUGUUAUGUGAAAUGAAAUUAAAUUUAGAACAAAAAAGUGUAUAAUAUGAUUUUCGGUAAUGUUUUCAACAAAAAUAAUGGAGUUUAUUGUAUUGACAGCCCUGGAACGACAUGAAAACCUUUUUAAUUGUUCUUUACUUGUAGCUGUAAGAGCAAAAGGAAUGGUUGCUUUAGCUACGGAAUUUUCAGGAGUAGCAGAGGGAUUACAUCUUGGAGGUCCAACUGCACACUCAAGAUUCAAAAUUCCUCUUCAGGUAAGUGCUAAAUCAACUUGUUCGGUAAGCAAACAACCUUCUUUAAUUGAAUUAUUCUGGAUGACACAAUUAAAAGUAUGGGAUGAAGCUCUUGUGCUAAAAAGAUUAGUUGUCGAAUAAUUGGAUGGAAUGUUACAAGAUAUUACAGAAAAUAAUAUGCCAUUUGGGGGAAGUAAUUGUUUUCAAAGGUGACUAAUGUGACAAUUGUUAAUUCAUGUUUAUGGCCUUUUGUUCAAAAAAAUAAAAUUGGUUAAAAAUAUGAGAGCUGAAUUGGAUUUACCUUUUUCUAAAUAUCCAUUACGAAUUGGAAAUGGGAUUGAGCCUUCACAUUCAUGCAAUAUGGUUAACCUUCCAAAUGAAAUGGUUAUUGCCCAUGAUAAUAAAGUUGAUUAUGUGAAAAAAUUGAUAGAUGUUGUAUUUCUCGAGUUAAAUGAUUACCCAAAAAAUAUUGAAGGUGUGAUUAAUAUGAUCAUAUUAAAUGAAAAGAAUGAGAACAUUGAUUUUGUAAAUGCUAUAUUAAUAGAACAAUUCCUUGGGAUUUCUAUUAAAUACUAUAGUUUUGAUGAAGCAAUAGAUAUAAAUGAACAAAAUUUUGAUGAAGAUUUCUCAAAUACAUUAACUCCUAAUGGUAUUCAACCACAUGAAUUAGUUUUGAAGUUAAAUUGCCCUUUCAUUUUAUUGAGAAACAUAUAUCCAUCAGAAUGCUUGUGCAACAGAACUAGACUUAUUUUUAAAAGAUUCGAUGUGAACAUAAUUGAAGUCGUAAUUACUGUUGGAGAAUAUAAAGGAAAGAGAUUUUUUCUACCCUACAUACUAUUUGUACCUCUUGAAAAUGAUACGAGUCCAAUUCGAUUCAAAAGAACUUAAUUUUCAGUUCAUGUAUGCUUUGCAACGAGUAUAAAUAAAGCUUAAGGACAAGUUCUUGAUUCCAUUGGAUUAUAUUUACUCGAGACUGUAUUUUCACAGGGUCAAUUUUAUGCUGCAUUAUCAAGGGCAAAAACAAGCAAAUGUGUUAAAAGUUCUUUUGAAACCAAUUGACAGAAAAAAAUAAAAUGGAAUUGUAUGAAGAAUGUUGUAUAUAAAGAGAGUUUAGCCACAGUUAGUAUAUCUUGAAUGGUAUUUUAUAUUUAUUCUUUUUUGUAGAUAUAGACUUGUUGGACAAAAGAAUCAACUCCAGCAACAUUGAUAGGUGGACCGAAU